GUGGGGAAUCUUAGACAAUGGGGGAAACCCUGAUCUAGCCAUGCCGCGUGAUCGAUGAAGGCCUUAGGGUUGUAAAGAUCUUUCAGCUGGGAAGAUAAUGACGGUACCAGCAGAAGAAGCCCCGGCUAACUCCGUGCCAGCAGCCGCGGUAAUACGGAGGGGGCUAGCGUUGUUCGGAAUUACUGGGCGUAAAGCGCACGUAGGCGGAUUGGAAAGUUGGGGGUGAAAUCCCGGGGCUCAACCCCGGAACUGCCUUCAAAACUCCCAGUCUUGAGGUCGAGAGAGGUGAGUGGAAUUCCGAGUGUAGAGGUGAAAUUCGUAGAUAUUCGGAGGAACACCAGUGGCGAAGGCGGCUCACUGGCUCGAUACUGACGCUGAGGUGCGAAAGCGUGGGGAGCAAACAGGAUUAGAAACCCUGGUAGUCC
rnacentral:rRNA from 1 species